rnacentral:rRNA from 1 species
UAACAAGGUCUCCUGGAAUGGAGCGUCAUAGAGGGUGAGAAUCCCGUCCAUGACACGGACGACCGAUGCUAUGUGAGGCACUCUCAAAGAGUCGAGUUGUUUGGGAAUGCAGCUCAAAAUGGGUGGUAAAUUCCAUCUAAAGCUAAAUAUUGGCGAGAGACCGAUAGCGAACAAGUACCGUGAGGGAAAGAUGAAAAGCACUUUGGAAAGAGAGUUAAACAGUACGUGAAAUUGUUGAAAGGGAAACGCUUGAAGUCAGUCGCGUUCCGUGGAACUCAGCCUUGCUUCGGCCUGGUGUACUUUCUGCGGGACGGGUCAACAUCAGUUUUGGCCGGUGGAAAAAGGCAGAGGGAAUGUAGCGCCGUUUCGGCGGCGUGUUAUAGCCCUUUGUCGAAUACACUGGCUGGGACUGAGGACUGCAGCACGCCCUUGUGGCCGGGGGUUCGCCCCACGUAACGUGCUUAGGAUGUUGGCAUAAUGGCUUUAAGCGACCCGUCUUGAAACACGGACCAAGGAGUCUAACAUGCCUGCGAGUGUUCGGGUGGAAAACCCUUGCGCGUAAUGAAAGUGAAAGUUGGGAACCUCCGCAAGGGGGUGCACCGACGCCCGGCCCUGAAGUUCUCUGACGGUGCUGCGGUAGAGCAAGUAUGUUGGGACCCGAAAGAUGGUGAACUAUGCCUGAAUAGGGCGAAGCCAGAGGAAACUCUGGUGGAGGCUCGUAGCGAUUCUGACGUGCAAAUCGAUCGUCAAAUUUGGG